CCCAUGGUUCCCAUGGUUAGAUGACUCACAGUGACUAGUCCCAAAGGCCAGGCCCCUUUCUAGCAAUGAGCCCUGGGAUCCUGGCAAAGUUUGUGGGAGAGUUUGCAGUCAGAGACACAAGGCUGGCGAGCUUGGGAUCCUCCAAACAGACAGGCCCCAUGUUCUUCAGAAACGCUUGCUCAGGAUAACCAUCCCUACUGGUCCAGCUCUCACACUGAGCCUGCUUCUUUGGGAUUCCAGCAUAUACUGAAGACCAGCUGAGACAUCCAGCCUCACAGACUGAACAACUAUUGGAUUGUUGGACCUUGUUGGUAGACAGGCAUCGUUGGACUAUCUGGACACCGGCCUGGCCUCUCGUGGGUUUGGAGCACCCAAUUAGGUGAGACCAAUUGGUCAGGAAGCCCCAGGGAUCCUCCCGUGUCUGCCUUCUCAGUCCAGGGAUUACAAGCACACAUCAGCACAUCCAGUUUCCUGUGGGAGACGUAAGGAACUGGGUUGUGCAGUCUCCAUCCCAAGAAACACAAACGGUACAUUGCUGUGCAGUGGAUGAGUCUACCACUGCAGCCCCGGAGCCCGCAGCGCUGGCAAAUUGGUAGCAUCUUCAAGGAUGACAAGGUGAGAGGCAGGUUGAGAAGCUCAUCAGCUCCUGCCAGGCAGGACUGGCAGCUAGUCGACACUUCUGCUUCCCGCAAGGAGUGCCAGAAAACCAGGCUUUCAAUGUGAAAUCUCUUCAUUUGAAAAGUUUGGCUAUUAACUCAGCAUCUGACUGUUUCUAAGAUACUUUGCACAGGGGGAGCAAGACAUCCCCCCCACAGUGUUACCAGUGUGCAAGCACAUUAGCCCAGCAGAAGGUGUGGUGGAUGGGAGAAGAAGGCAGAGUGGUUCCCUGGAGGGGAGGACGGCAAGUAAGCGGGAAUGACCGGUGGGAGGCUCUAGACAGGGCGGGGAUAGUUCAGAGACGGGCUCAAUGGGGACCUUAGGGCGGUACAUGACUGGGCCUCAGGAUUGGAUCCAGGGAACAGAGCAGUUAGAUGUGUGACCAUCUAGACCUCAAGGAACAAGGCUGCGAAGGUGGGUGGUGACCAGGUUCCUUGCUGUUUGUGUAGCUGUCUAACCCAUUACAAGAGUCAGGACAGAGUGACCCGAUUAAGAUGCUGUGGCUGAGGAGGUCCAGACCACAGUUCCAAAACACAGAGGAAGGCUUGAGUCUUCUGGUGGUUCUUCCCCUUACCAAAGAAAGACCAGGGAUCAACCAUUUGACGUUUGACCAUCAGGCCACUGCCUUUCCCUUAGUGGCCAUACGGUGGCAGCAGAGGGACAAUAGUGUUCCUGUUGGCAGCAAGUGUUCCAACUCGGAAGCCUGGCAUUGAAGCGGUGGUUUGGAGGGCCUGGAGAGUGCAGGGAAGUGUAGACGUGUGAGGGCCAUCUUUGUCUCAUUCUCUCAGUGUGUUCAUGUCCCUGUUGAGGUCUCUUGCAACCCUGACCUAAGACAUCAGUGAUACACUGGAUCAUGGCUGUGGUGUUCUGUUCUACAGGCUUGUCACACUGCAUAGAUGGCUGGGCCAAGGCAUAAUCGGGUAUUGUCACAGCCAUCUCUCCACACCCCUGACUUCUGCUGCCUGUUCUUCCUGUUCCCCACCUCGACUGUACUGGAGUGGCAGUCUGAAGACACAGGCGUUGUGGGUUUUUUCGUUAUGUGUACAUGUCAUUUUCGUCCAUACCUUUUACACUGUCAUUGGCAGAGCGACACUUCCUCUUCUCCCAGACACAAUCAGAUGACAGAUCCAGCCCCAAAUCUUUCCUGUGGCUCUGUGACCCAGGAAGCAAGCUGGUGAGAGGAAAUGGCCAGGCAGGGGUGGCUGCAGGGAAGAGGUCCCUGGGGGUGGGGGCUAAGACCCAGGGUUCUCUGGCCCUUUGGGUACAGAAACUUAGCUGUUUCCCUUUAAACUUUCAGCCCCAGCCUUCCUAAAUUCCAGCCUGGGCACGGACGGGGAUGCAGAGGCGGGAGAGGAGGGGUCCCUUGCAGGCAGGACUGACCAUCUGCUGCCCCAAGUGUAGAGGGGCUUCAAGGAAAAGCAGUCUGUGGCCUUGCACGGGCCUGAAACUGGACACACAGACCCUCCCUGUCUCUGAGUGCUUAUGGUUGACAUCAGAGGACAGGCAAGGGCAGGGAGUGGCUGACUCCACAUGACAUCAGAGGACGGGCCCAAGGAACAGCAGUGGAGCAGCAGCUGGGCUGGAGGGGCCAGAACUACAGAGAGGACAUCACUACAGAGAGGACAUCAUCACUACAGAGAGGACAUCACAGUCACUACCUUCUUCCCC